CGCGGCCUAUCAGCUUGUUGGUGGGGUAACGGCCUACCAAGGCUUCGACGGGUAGCUGGCGUGAGAGCGUGGCCAGCCACACUGGGACUGAGACACGGCCCAGACUCCUACGGGAGGCAGCAGUGGGGAAUCUUGCGCAAUGGGCGAAAGCCUGACGCAGCGACGCCGCGUGGGGGACGAAGGCCCUCGGGUUGUAAACCCCUUUCGGCAGGGACGAAGCGAAAGUGACGGUACCUGCAGAAGAAGGUCCGGCUAACUACGUGCCAGCAGCCGAGGUAAGACGUAGGGACCGAGCGUUGUCCGGAUUCAUUGGGCGUAAAGCGCGCGCAGGCGGCCAUGCAAGUCGGUUGUGAAAGCCCGGGGCUCAACCCCGGGACUGCGUCCGAUACUGCAUGGCUCGAGGCAGGUAGGGGAGAUCGGAAUUCCCGGUGUAGCGGUGAAAUGCGCAGAUAUCGGGAGGAACACCGGUGGCGAAGGCGGAUCUCUGGGCCUGUCCUGACGCUGAGGCGCGAAAGCUAGGGGAGCGAACAGGAUUAGAUACCCUGGUAGUCCUAGCCGUAAACGAUGGGCGCUAGGUGUGGGCGGUAUCGACCCCGUCCGUGCCGAAGCUAACGCAUUAAGCGCCCCGCCUGGGGGAGUACGG
rnacentral:rRNA from 1 species